rnacentral:lncRNA from 1 species
UUUGGAUAAGAGAGCUCACCAUGGCCUGGACUCUGGUUUUUCUGGCCCUUCUCAGUUACUGCUCAGGUAAGGAUGGGGAGGAAUAACAUCUCUUUUGCCGUGGAGCCAACAGCACAAUAAACUAUAAUAUAUAUUCAUUUAUUAUGUUUAUUUAUUAUGGAAACUUAAAGCUCCAGUGAUAUUUGAGAACACAGAGGAUGGAGAGUCAUGCUUUUCUUUUUCUUUUUCAAAAGGUGCCAAUUCACAGCCAACAGUGACUCAGACAGGCUCCCAAUCUGUGUCCCUGGGCCAAACUGUGAAAUUCUCCUGCUCUAAAAGUAGUGGUGGUAGCUGGGGCAGCUUUCACUGGUAUCAACAGAAACCUGGACAGGCUCCUCGCUUUGUGUGGUAUGGCUCCAGCACCAGGGGAGAAGGGAUCCCAGAUCGGUUCACUGGCUCUGAAUCUGGGAACGCUGGCUCUUUAACCAUCUCCAACACCCAGGCUGAAGAUGAGGCCGUUUAUUACUGUGGUGCCAGGGAGAGCACUGGUAGCUGGAAGUA